CUCUGAGGCGUUGCUGAACACAUAGAGCACAUAAGAGCCAUUCUGUUGUACUGGGAAAUGUAGCUCCAGCUUCACCUUGACUGUACUUGGCCCUUUGUUCCUCAACUAACAGCACAAAGGAGCAUGGGAACCACUUCAUGCUGGUCUGGGGAAAGGUGGAUUUGGAAUCUAUCAGAUUUGAAGAAACAGUGGAGAAUAGAGUGCUGAUGGGAUUCCUGUCUACCACAGGCACACAGACAUUCACACAAACAUUCACACCUAGUCAAUCCAUCCUCUGUUGUGUAUUUGUCAGGUAAGAGGUGAACGUAGAACCCAAAGGAACCCUGAGAUUUGGAGUAAACAUGUUUGACAUUGUAGAAACCAGAUUUUUUGGUUUUGAAAUUCUUGUUGGUGACGAUAAACGGCCAUGCAAGACUGAACAGAUUUGCUAAAAGGAAAAAAGAUAUUGUACUGCACAUUCUUUGGCACCUCAUAAACAUGCUCUACAAGGGGGCCCACAUCUUCCAAAUCCUUUGGGGAAUCUUUUGGUUCCCAUUUGGCAAUUGGCAUGACGCUCUCGGAAGGAGAGGAGGCUCUGCAAUUAAGAAGAUAAAUAAAAUUAAAAUGCUUCUUAACUACAAUCUGCUACCUAUACCAGCAAAGCAUUCAUAGAUAAGAUUCUUAACAGUCAUAUUAAUAAUAACAUUCACAUUAAUUAAUACACUUGUGCAGUGAAUAUCAUACAUUGAACUGCAGGGCUAGGUGCAACAACAACAAAAACAAAAACGCAGCUUGAAGAACAAGAAGUUCAAACUAAGCUCACUCACCCCCGCAUCUCCAGCAAAGCCACAGCCUGAACAUUGAUCUUCACUUCCACUCUGUUGCUGUCUGGUUUCAGACUGUUCUUGCUAAUGAUUAAUGAAGGAGAACAAACAUUCAAGCAUUGCUGCUAUGAUCUUCGGGAAAAAAAAAUUAUUAGCACAACAAUGUCAAGAUAACAGACUACUGGGAAGGAAGCAAGAUAAUUACUAUGAAGAAUUCACGUCAGAAAACCAAGCAACAUGGUGCAUAAAGGAUGCUCUUGCCUUUUAAUUUGUAAAUGGAAGGACACAUGGGUCUCGACCUCCUCCAGUCCACCCAUGCUGAAAUACAGACCGGCCAUGAUCUACAAAAGAGUUCAAAGAGACACUAAAGAAUUGACAGGUCCAUUUAGCUCAUGGAAGUCAACAGGAAGUCAGCAGGAAGUCAAGGGAGUUUCCUGAAGACCAGCAAAAGAGAAUCGUCUGCACUGCCAUUCUUUAAAAUUAUAGAUUGAAAGUAAAUGAUCAAUCUAUAAUAAUAAUAAAAAGCCUUGUUAUUUUCGGCUGUGCUACUUCUUAAAAAGCAGUAGUAUGUGCUCAUUACUAGCUUCGUGUUUUCUUAGCAUGUUUACUUGCAUUCAAUUUUGGUAAAUUGUGAAAAAUCAGGUUUAAUUUUUAAGACGUACUAAAGGGCUUAGUUCAAAAUGGUUAAGGUCUUGAUGUUAUGUCAUUUUACCAAGAAAGUUCUAAAAUUUGUCUAGCGCUUCAUGACAGUGUAAGACUUUUAAUUACACCUUUGUUUACAAUUUGAGGACAUUAAAAUAGUUCAUUUAGCCGACAAAUGGGCUUUAUAAAUAAAUGAUUGGAAUUGCGAGGUUUUUUUUUUUUUGGUUUUCUUUAAUAUCAAUCACGCAAUCAUGAGCCAAAUCAAAAUAGAUUUACAAUAUAAUGACCACAAACAAACAAACAAACAACUUCCCCCAUUAAAAGAAUAAAGCUUUCAAUUAACUUUAGUAGAUGUCAUGUGGCUUAUUUUUUUAAUCCCCGGUGAAGCUCCCUUUUGAAGCUGCUUGAGAAGAUACUGACACUGCACAAAUCUUCAUCAGGAAAUUCAGAAAUUCAUCAGAAAAUUGCUGCCUUUUAAACUGUCCAUGUCCAUAUCCUCAGUAGUACCCUGCUACUGGAAUGACACAAAAGAAAUUGCUGUAUUAAAACAUGUUGCAGUGUAGAAACCAAACCAAACACCAU